GGGGAUAUAGCUCAGUUGGUAGAGCGCUUCCAUGGCAUGGAAGAGGUCAGGAGUUCGAGUCUCCUUAUCUCCA
rnacentral:tRNA from 2 species